rnacentral:rRNA from 1 species
UACGUAGGGGGCAAGCGUUGUCCGGAAUCAUUGGGCGUAAAGCGCGUGUAGGCGGCCUUGUAAGUCCGUUCUGAAAGCCCGGGGCUCAACCCCGGGAGGCGGAUGGAUACUGCAAGGCUCGAGUACGGAAGAGGCGAGUGGAAUUCCGAGUGUAGAGGUGAAAUUCGUAGAUAUUCGGAGGAACACCAGUGGCGAAGGCGGCUCACUGGUCCGGUACUGACGCUGAGGUGCGAAAGCGUGGGGAGCAAACAGG